rnacentral:tRNA from 1 species
GUAGUCGUGGCCAAGUGGUUAAGGCGACCGACUAGAUCUAGAAAUCUGAUGGGAUAUUCCAGCGCAGGUUCGAAUCAUGCGAACUACG